CCAGGACUUUCAGGACUUAUUUUUAAUUGAUUUUAUUUUAGUUUCACUUUUAUUUCUUAUUUUAUUGAGCAAUAAACGUUAUUACAUUGGAAAGAUUGCAAACGGCACAGAUUUUAUUCAGUUAUGGGCUCUUAACCUAUUGGAACCCCGUGGGUUUUACUUAUCACAAAGAAGAAAAAUUGGGGACAUCCUACUAAUCGUCCCACUGCAUUAACCAUUUUAGCCAGAUGUAUAUAUUGGCUUUAUACUUGUGAGUUUUAAUUUUUCCAUUAUUUAUCUCAAGACAUACAGCAUAGAUAAUAUUAGACAUGUGCAAUUCGUUUCGGUCCGAAUUAAAAUUCGUCCGAAUUUCGGGUUUUUCUGACAUUCGGGGUGCUUCCUAAUGUCCGAAUAGCUGAAUUGCCGAAGUCCCGAAAUUACAGAAUUUCCGAAGUGUAGUAGUGCCGAAGUGCCGAAUUGCUGAAGUGCCGAAUUGCUGAAGUUCCGAGGUGUCAAAGUGCCGAAGUUCCGAAGGACAGUAUUGUCUAAGUACUAAUAUACUUACCCAGUGAAAGAAGAAGAAUGUUACACUGUAUACAAUUUCAAAUAAAAAGUAUACAAACAUAGACAGGAUUCAGCUGUAAGCAUUUGCAACACUUAAAACAAUCAAGUAACAUACAUUCAUAUAAAAUGUAAGUUAC